AUCGCAUGAUCCGGUGUGAAAAACUCCGGUGGUAUGGGAUGGACCCGCGUCUGAUUAGCCAGUUGGCAGGGUAACGGCCUACCAAAGCGACGAUCAGUAGCCGACCUGAGAGGGUGACCGGCCACAUUGGGACUGAGACACGGCCCAAACUCCUACGGGAGGCAGCAGUGGGGAAUAUUGCACAAUGGGGGAAACCCUGAUGCAGCGACGCCGCGUGAGCGAAGAAGUAUUUCGGUAUGUAAAGCUCUAUCAGCAGGGAAGAAGAAUGACGGUACCUGACUAAGAAGCACCGGCUAAAUACGUGCCAGCAGCCGCGGUAAUACGUAUGGUGCAAGCGUUAUCCGGAUUUACUGGGUGUAAAGGGAGCGCAGGCGGUGCGGCAAGUCUGAUGUGAAAGCCCGGGGCUCAACCCCGGUACUGCAUUGGAAACUGUCGUACUAGAGUGUCGGAGGGGUAAGUGGAAUUCCUAGUGUAGCGGUGAAAUGCGUAGAUAUUAGGAGGAACACCAGUGGCGAAGGCGGCUUACUGGACGAUAACUGACGCUGAGGCUCGAAAGCGUGGGGAGCAAACAGGAUUAGAUACCCUGGUAGUCCACGCCGUA
rnacentral:rRNA from 1 species